UUUUACUGUAAUGCUUCUUUUGCUGAUAUCGUAUGUGCCUACUAGGGAAUUUCUCUUCAAUGCCAUUGAAACGUUGCCUUGUGUCAAGAAGAAGGCAGACUGGGCCUUGCGCUGGAUUGGGGACAAAGAGGCUACCUAUGGUGAACGUGUUGUAGCCUUUGCUGCAGUGGAAGGCAUCUUCUUUUCCGGUUCUUUUGCAUCGAUAUUCUGGCUCAAGAAACGAGGACUGAUGCCUGGCCUCACAUUUUCUAAUGAACUUAUUAGCAGAGAUGAGGGUUUACACUGUGAUUUUGCUUGCCUGAUGUUCAAACACCUGGUACACAAACCAUCGGAGGAGAGAGUAAGAGAAAUAAUUAUCAAUGCUGUUCGGAUAGAACAGGAGUUCCUCACCGAGGCCUUGCCUGUGAAGCUCAUUGGGAUGAAUUGCACUCUAAUGAAGCAAUACAUUGAGUUUGUGGCAGACAGACUUAUGCUGGAACUGGGUUUUAGCAAGGUAAAGUAUUGUUUACAUAGCCUUCUGCUUGUUUUGAAACUGGUGCUCUGUAUUUAUAUCUUGAUGUGAACCUUUUCAGGUUUUCAGAGUAGAGAACCCAUUUGACUUUAUGGAGAAUAUUUCACUGGAAGGAAAGACUAACUUCUUUGAGAAGAGAGU
rnacentral:sRNA from 1 species